AAUCCGAUUCGUCGGAACAUAAAACUUUCCAUAUUGCAGGGAAUCGUAUGAUGAAUCGACUUCAAACGCACCGAGUCACAUAACGACUACAUAUAUCCGGCGAUUUAUAGGUAGCAUCGCAGCAAGCCUACGGUUCCCUUCUCGGGUAGAACAGCAAUUAACUCAGCGGAGCAUUUUAAAACCAUGAGGUCCAUGACCGACGCCAGUCCCUUAUUUCUUUUAUUUUUAAAAACCCUUGGCGCUGGCCCCCUUCGCCUCUGUCCGGCGCAACCCCAGCGGCCAGCGUUUCCAUAAAUCCCGACCCCACUCGCCAUUCUCCUCUCCGGCUCUCGGUGGAAAGCACUUUCCCUCUCUUUCCUCCUCGCCCUUCGCCGAUCGUCUCGGAGUAUGCGAUCGCUCGCUGCCCGUCUCCCCCAUUUCAAGAACAAGGGGUGGAGAUCUCUAUAGCUCGAUGUGCUCCGACGUCCAAAUCGUUUACUCUCUUCUCUCUAGCUCAAUGUGCUCCGACGAGUCCCUCCGCAAGCCGGCCGAGGCUGCCCUUGCGCAGUGCGAGAACCGCCUCGCCUUCUGCUCCUGACUCCUCGUAUUCUCUCGCCCUCUCUCCGUCUUUCUUGAUUUCUUGGGUUUUUCUUCUUCCAUUCGCUGUUCUACGUUCCUUUUAAUCAAGAAGAUGCGUUUUGGAGACCCAUUGACGGAGGAGGACGCAGGAGAUAAUUUCCGCGAGGGAUUUGGCCUGCCGUGAUGAUGUCCGGAUUCUGGCUUCGGUGUACUUCAAGAGCAGCACGCGAUAGCCCAGGCAUCAACAAUGAGGAAAAGAUUCAUCUCUGAAAGAAAUUGCUGUUACACAUACGUCAAAAAUAAUCCAGAUGUUUUUGGGAGUUUUUUUCAAUAGGAGAAGCAGCAUCCCUCUGCUAAUUCUGCUUUUUAUUUAUGCAUGUCUUGGCACAGAUAGCACUUCAAAUGGCCGUUCUUGUCUCCAAAAUUGCAUGCAUUGAUUUAUCCAAAAGAAUGGCCAGGGAUCUUCUCUUUUUUUGGUGCAACAGCUCCAGCCUGCUGAUAUGCUUGCUUCCAAUAGGUUUUUCUGGUUCUUUUUCAAACUUUAAGAGACCUGUCAAAAAAACAUCCUAGUUCAGACCAGAGGAACUUCUCAAAGGUAUGUUUGUCUUUUUCAACAAUGAAUAUGUACUAACCUUGUUUCUUUCUAUUGUGUUGUCUGUUAUUCUAUGUUGUUUCUGAUAGAUCAAUGUGAAUGUUAAAUCUGUCUCAUUAGGCAACAUUCAACUUGCAUUUCAGUUCAUCUUUUUUAGUUCCUUUAGUCAUGUAUUGUCCACUAUAUUUGAAAGGAUGUUUUUCUCCCUUUUUGCACUCCAAAUCUAGGUAACUUUUAUCACUUUUAUGUGCUUCAUCUUCUUAGCUCCUAAGAAAGAGGGCCUGCUGUAUUAUGACUGGCUGCAUGAUUCUUAAAUAAGAAAUUGGGUGAUUUAUGACUUUUACUAUUUAGUCUAUGUUUGCUGUAAAAUUCUUGAACUAUGAUCGGCUAGUUUUCGGUACUGGAUUUUACUGUGGUUGAUAAAAAAGUGGACAAAGAGUUGUCUUUACGCAUAGAAAAUUGUAGGAUAAUUUCUAGGCCUUCUGAAAAAACAACAGUUAAUAGUAUGAGAUUAGCUCUUUUCUUGAAACGACAAAUCUGAAGAGUCUAAUGAGCCUUUUCUACAAUAAUUAGAAUUAAAAUAGAAAUCAACAUUCUUCUUAGAGCCAAGCCAAAAACUGGCACUAUCCAGGAUGCCCUUCAGUGAAAUUGAUAAAAAGCUGAGAUGAAAAAAUGGAAAAAAACAAUCAAGUGGAGUUAGUUAUCCAGGUAUAUGCCCCUUGGUUAGGUGCGAGAUUUAUGAGUGGAAAAGUUCUUUAUGCGGGGCAUAUGCCUAGAUAUCUAUGAAUAAGAUAUUAUGAAAAGACAUUUGUGUCCUGAUACUUGUCAUCACACUUUGAACCAUGAUAUCUUGGUCUAAAUGAGCCUGUUUCAAGUUCUAAUACAUGCAAAUGGUGCGUCUCUGAUAGAUGCUUGCCCGUGUUUAUGAUUAUAAAAGGAGUGCUUGUAAUGAUGUAAUUGUAAAUGAUGUAAUUGUACCCAUCACAGUUCAAAGAGUGUGAAAAAACCUUUUUCUUAUUGCAGCUCGUUUGUUGAGCUGAUUGAAUGGCUUAUGCUGGAAGAGGGCUUGAACCUGCAUCAUGUCUCUGAAAUUGCAUCCUGUCGUGAACACAGUUUACGCAGCCUAAGCUCUUAGGUUUUAAUUAGUUCCUUUGAUCCUUAGCAUUUUAAUAUUAUUUGCAUGCUUUCUGCAAUUCUCAUAUUCUGAUAGUGCUGAGUGACCGCCCAAAGAUUUUCUGGAUAUACCGUACCUUAGUUUGCCAUGUUAUUGAUUAAUUAUUCCGAAGUUGCCUUUAUGACUGAAAUUGUUGCUGGGCUGGACAUAUCAAUUGGCAGUUAUGAAAGCUGUGGUAGUGGAAGUUUUGUGACACACGGAUCUACUUCUUGAUGCAGGUAGCCUUACACUUGUUUGAGCAUACUACAGAGUUUCUCUGCUCUUGAUUGUAAUUACUUUAUACUGAUAUAGGAUUACUUUAUACUGAUUAGGCAACACAAAGUCCAAUCUAAUAUUAAUAUUGAAAAAAUGGAAAUUA